GUCUUGUCGCCUGGUUUGAUGGCAGCCACAGUGGGCCUGGAGGGGGCUGAGCGGAGGGAAGAGGAAAGCAGGGCUGGCGAUGACACACGCCGUUUCACACGGAACCCAUGGGAGGAACCCAGUGCCCAGAGGGUCCCAGCUUCCAGCUGUUACCUUCCUACAGCUCAGAGAGGUUGCAGGACUUACUGGAAGACACCCAGCAGUCCCUCCUGGAGGCUCCGUUCCCCAGCGUGCUCUGCCACGAAGGAUCCCAGGAGGGGAGCAGCUGCCUCCCCAAGGGGCGCAUCAGUGCUGAGGGGCACCCGGCGAGACGGCACAGGUGCUGGGGAGGGACCAGGCCCUGGGGGUGACCAUGAGCAGAGACACCCCUGUGUACCCAGACGCAGACGCGGGGCUACCAGUCAUGGGAGGGGAGAUGUUUUUAAACAAUUUAACAUGUUUUUUCUUUAAUGCAUUAAAGUGCUGCUAUCUUUGAUUCACUUUCUUCUGGUUAGAGUUAUUUUUAUCUGGGAGUCACUGGGGAUAAGGGGAGACAC
rnacentral:lncRNA from 1 species